rnacentral:rRNA from 1 species
GGGUUGUGAGGUUAAGCGACUAAGCGUACACGGUGGAUGCCCUGGCAGUCAGAGGCGAUGAAGGACGUGCUAAUCUGCGAUAAGCGUCGGUAAGGUGAUAUGAACCGUUAUAACCGGCGAUUUCCGAAUGGGGAAACCCAGUGUGAUUCGUCACACUAUCAUUAACUGAAUCCAUAGGUUAAUGAGGCGAACCGGGGGAACUGAAACAUCUAAGUACCCCGAGGAAAAGAAAUCAACCGAGAUUCCCCCAGUAGCGGCGAGCGAACGGGGAGCAGCCCAGAGCCUGAAUCAGUGUGUGUGUUAGUGGAAGCGUCUGGAAAGGCGCGCGAUACAGGGUGACAGCCCCGUACACAAAAAUGCACAUGCUGUGAGCUCGAUGAGUAGGGCGGGACACGUGGUAUCCUGUCUGAAUAUGGGGGGACCAUCCUCCAAGGCUAAAUACUCCUGACUGACCGAUAGUGAACCAGUACCGUGAGGGAAAGGCGAAAAGAACCCCGGCGAGGGGAGUGAAAAAGAACCUGAAACCGUGUACGUACAAGCAGUGGGAGCACGCUUAGGCGUGUGACUGCGUACCUUUUGUAUAAUGGGUCAGCGACUUAUAUUCUGUAGCAAGGUUAACCGAAUAGGGGAGCCGAAGGGAAACCGAGUCUUAACUGGGCGUUAAGUUGCAGGGUAUAGACCCGAAACCCGGUGAUCUAGCCAUGGGCAGGUUGAAGGUUGGGUAACACUAACUGGAGGACCGAACCGACUAAUGUUGAAAAAUUAGCGGAUGACUUGUGGCUGGGGGUGAAAGGCCAAUCAAACCGGGAGAUAGCUGGUUCUCCCCGAAAGCUAUUUAGGUAGCGCCUCGUGAAUUCAUCUCCGGGGGUAGAGCACUGUUUCGGCAAGGGGGUCAUCCCGACUUACCAACCCGAUGCAAACUGCGAAUACCGGAGAAUGUUAUCACGGGAGACACACGGCGGGUGCUAACGUCCGUCGUGAAGAGGGAAACAACCCAGACCGCCAGCUAAGGUCCCAAAGUCAUGGUUAAGUGGGAAACGAUGUGGGAAGGCCCAGACAGCCAGGAUGUUGGCUUAGAAGCAGCCAUCAUUUAAAGAAAGCGUAAUAGCUCACUGGUCGAGUCGGCCUGCGCGGAAGAUGUAACGGGGCUAAACCAUGCACCGAAGCUGCGGCAGCGACGCUUAUGCGUUGUUGGGUAGGGGAGCGUUCUGUAAGCCUGUGAAGGUGUGCUGUGAGGCAUGCUGGAGGUAUCAGAAGUGCGAAUGCUGACAUAAGUAACGAUAAAGCGGGUGAAAAGCCCGCUCGCCGGAAGACCAAGGGUUCCUGUCCAACGUUAAUCGGGGCAGGGUGAGUCGACCCCUAAGGCGAGGCCGAAAGGCGUAGUCGAUGGGAAACAGGUUAAUAUUCCUGUACUUGGUGUUACUGCGAAGGGGGGACGGAGAAGGCUAUGUUGGCCGGGCGACGGUUGUCCCGGUUUAAGCGUGUAGGCUGGUUUUCCAGGCAAAUCCGGAAAAUCAAGGCUGAGGCGUGAUGACGAGGCACUACGGUGCUGAAGUAACAAAUGCCCUGCUUCCAGGAAAAGCCUCUAAGCAUCAGGUAACAUCAAAUCGUACCCCAAACCGACACAGGUGGUCAGGUAGAGAAUACCAAGGCGCUUGAGAGAACUCGGGUGAAGGAACUAGGCAAAAUGGUGCCGUAACUUCGGGAGAAGGCACGCUGAUAUGUAGGUGAAGUCCCUUGCGGAUGGAGCUGAAAUCAGUCGAAGAUACCAGCUGGCUGCAACUGUUUAUUAAAAACACAGCACUGUGCAAACACGAAAGUGGACGUAUACGGUGUGACGCCUGCCCGGUGCCGGAAGGUUAAUUGAUGGGGUCAGCGCAAGCGAAGCUCUUGAUCGAAGCCCCGGUAAACGGCGGCCGUAACUAUAACGGUCCUAAGGUAGCGAAAUUCCUUGUCGGGUAAGUUCCGACCUGCACGAAUGGCGUAAUGAUGGCCAGGCUGUCUCCACCCGAGACUCAGUGAAAUUGAACUCGCUGUGAAGAUGCAGUGUACCCGCGGCAAGACGGAAAGACCCCGUGAACCUUUACUAUAGCUUGACACUGAACAUUGAGCCUUGAUGUGUAGGAUAGGUGGGAGGCUUGGAAGUGUGGACGCCAGUCUGCAUGGAGCCGACCUUGAAAUACCACCCUUUAAUGUUUGAUGUUCUAACGUUGACCCGUAAUCCGGGUUGCGGACAGUGUCUGGUGGGUAGUUUGACUGGGGCGGUCUCCUCCUAAAGAGUAACGGAGGAGCACGAAGGUUGGCUAAUCCUGGUCGGACAUCAGGAGGUUAGUGCAAUGGCAUAAGCCAGCUUGACUGCGAGCGUGACGGCGCGAGCAGGUGCGAAAGCAGGUCAUAGUGAUCCGGUGGUUCUGAAUGGAAGGGCCAUCGCUCAACGGAUAAAAGGUACUCCGGGGAUAACAGGCUGAUACCGCCCAAGAGUUCAUAUCGACGGCGGUGUUUGGCACCUCGAUGUCGGCUCAUCACAUCCUGGGGCUGAAGUAGGUCCCAAGGGUAUGGCUGUUCGCCAUUUAAAGUGGUACGCGAGCUGGGUUUAGAACGUCGUGAGACAGUUCGGUCCCUAUCUGCCGUGGGCGCUGGAGAACUGAGGGGGGCUGCUCCUAGUACGAGAGGACCGGAGUGGACGCAUCACUGGUGUUCGGGUUGUCAUGCCAAUGGCACUGCCCGGUAGCUAAAUGCGGAAGAGAUAAGUGCUGAAAGCAUCUAAGCACGAAACUUGCCCCGAGAUGAGUUCUCCCUGACUCCUUGAGAGUCCUGAAGGAACGUUGAAGACGACGACGUUGAUAGGCCGGGUGUGUAAGCGCAGCGAUGCGUUGAGCUAACCGGUACUAAUGAACCGUGAGGCUUAACCUUACAACGCCGAAGCUGUU